GACGUAGGGUGCGAGCGUUGUCCGGAUUUAUUGGGCGUAAAGAGCUCGUAGGCGGUUUGUCGCGUCGGCCGUGAAAUCUCCACGCUUAACGUGGAGCGUGCGGUCGAUACGGGCAGACUUGAGUUCGGUAGGGGAGACUGGAAUUCCUGGUGUAGCGGUGAAAUGCGCAGAUAUCAGGAGGAACACCGGUGGCGAAGGCGGCAUCCUGGACCGAGAUUGACGCUGAGGCGCGAAAGCUAGGGGAGCAAACGGG
rnacentral:rRNA from 1 species